AGACAGACAGACAGACAGACAAAGUCUUCACAUAAAGUAGCUGAAGCUACUUAAUAAAAGCUGAAAGUUAAAAAAGCUUCGAACAAUGAGUGUCGUUCAAGAAGGAUUGAAGCAUACUGUCAUAUUCUUAGUAAAUAUCCAGAUACCAAAAUCUAACGAAUUAACAUACUAUGUACAUACAUGCAUAAAUGUAAAGGAUUCGCGUAAAUAUUUAAUGCAUAUACAUAUGUAUACACUCCCCAUUUUCAUAACAAUUUGUUCACAAAAUCUCAUUAGUUCUAAGCAUUAUGCAUUUUCACGAUUAUCAAGUCAAGUGAAAUUCUUUGUAGUAUCAUAAUAAGCAGAUAUAUAACCGCAAUAAUUAACGUAUUCUUAUCCAGUGCGUCAUUCACUUGAUAUAAAACCCAGUUGAUUAUGAAGAGAGAAAGCUAUUCGCGUUUCAAGCUGAUUCCAUAAGAAAGUAGCUACUAAUUUGGGAUCAAAUUCAAUUAAGAUGAUGACCCCAGCAAGCACUUUGACCAUUUUUCUGGUAGGAGCGAUAAUUUUUGGAGGCACGCUUGUCGCAAGCCAAGAUUCCAGUGCGAAAAUACCGAUCGUCUGGCCUGAGCAAUGUGUUAAUUGCUCUACUAUCUGCAACACUUACUUGCAAUGUUUGAAAUUUGAGAUGACUUCUCGUCUUGAUGAAAACAGGAUAGCGCUGUGUGGAUAUCGGUCAUGCUGUGUGCAUCCGAAAACUUACGGCUGUCUGACUAGAUGUCCAAGACUGAUCUUGGAACCGUAUCCAACCCUUCCUAUUGCUGAAAUAUAAUGAACGAGAUUCUAAAUGUCCAUAGAAAAUUGUAUAAAAAAUAAUGUAUACAUUUACAUAAUGCAAAUAAAUAAAUUUAUAGUGAGUAUAUUAA